rnacentral:misc_RNA from 1 species
CGUCAACGUAAGAGCGCUAAGGAAACUCAAACGUCUACUUGAUUUCCUUUUUUGGUCCGGCUAACAUCUCGACAGUUCUCAACCGUCCGGCUAGUCGGCGACCGUCGUUACCGGCGAUGCGGAGAACCGACGUGACUGCCUCAAUCUUUCUUCUCUUACUCUUCUUCCUUCUUCUCUCUAAGCCAUCACCUUGUUCCUCCUUUUCUUUCCCAUUUUCCAACUACCAAGCCGUCUUCUCUCUUUCUCACUCGCUAUUCUCCCGCGUCGCUAAUCUCCGGCAAGCUCGCG